rnacentral:rRNA from 1 species
GCAAGUCGAACGCGAACGUCUUCUUCGGAAGACAAGUAGAGUGGCGAAAGGGUGAGUAAUGCUUGGACGACCUACCCUCGAGUCGGGGACAACAUUUCGAAAGGAAUGCUAAUACCCGAUAGUCCGCAUGAGAUGCGUCUCAUGCGGUAAAGGUGCUUCCGCUUGAGGAGGUGUCCAAGUCCUAUCAGCUUGUUGGUGAGGUAAUAGCUCACCAAGGCAAUGACGGGUAGCCGGACUGAGAGGUUGGCC